rnacentral:rRNA from 1 species
UACGAAGGGGGCUAGCGUUGUUCGGAAUUACUGGGCGUAAAGCGUAUGCAGGCGGACUUUUAAGUCGGGGGUGAAAUCCCGAGGCUCAACCUCGGAACUGCCUUCGAUACUGGAGAGCUCGAGUCCGGGAGAGGUGAGUGGAACUGCGAGUGUAGAGGUGAAAUUCGUAGAUAUUCGCAAGAACACCAGUGGCGAAGGCGGCUCACUGGCCCGGUACUGACGCUGAGGUGCGAAAGCGUGGGGAGCAAACAGG